CAGGUCAUGCUGAUGCUGCUGAUUCAGGGCCACACUUGAAGAACAACUGCUCAAGGACUUGAGCCAGCGGCUUGCCGUAUUGCCAGCCAAUCUUGGAUUCAUCAGCUUCCACAGCCCGUGAGCCAGCAGCCUGCCAUCUGACCUGUUGCUCUUGGGUUCAUCAGCCCCUGCAGCUAAGUGAGUCAGGAGAGGCCUCCAGCAUGACACCUGACCCAUGAACUUGACUUGCCAGCCUCUUCAACCAGAGAUGAAGAAUGGAUCCAAUUGCAUGUGAUGGAGAAUGAAUCCAGUAUCUUCACAAAAAGAACCCUUCGUGCAAAUAAAGGACAUUAAAAAAAAAAAAAGCAUUUUAAACAAACAAAACAAAACAAAAUUCCAUUGCCCAAUUGUAAUUCUCCCAGGGAAACUUCUGUUUGUUAUGUGUACUCUCUUCAAAAUGACACAAGGAGGGGUCACACAUCCCCAGUAGUUCAUGUGGGGCUUACCUGGCAUGACUAGCAAAGUGGGUUUUCCAACACAUUUGUUUUGGGGACUUUUCCCCCCUCUGAGUCUUUAGUCUGGUUGCCAGACUCUUCCCUAAUUUCAUUGUCCUGUUGUUGAGGAUGCUAUUGGGUGAAACUUACAGACAUAUUACUCAGUUUUACAAGAGUGGGGUAAAAUGACCAUUUUCUGACAUUUGCUUUUUAAGAAGCUUUACUUAUUUCUCUGUUGAACUGACUGCACUGACAUUUCUCCUAUGUGUUGUAACAGUCUAAAAUCUAAGAAAGACAUCAUUCUGAAAGAUGAUGCUUCAUCCAAACCCGCUCUUGGUAUAGCUGUAUAAAUAAAUCCUUAGGGGUACUGCCAUGGUAUAUAAAAGUAAACCUUCUACCCUGGUCCUCCCUCAUCUUGUUAAGCCUUUUUUUUUUGUCCCCUUCUGGGACUAAAAUUAAAACCCAUAUGUAUCUUCCUCCAGAUUCCAGGCUCAGUUGACUGACUAUGGCAGAAAAAGACUUGUGGGUUAGUGCAGAGCCCAUGCUGAGUAUGACUAGAAAUAGAGUUUUCCCUCCCUAGAGCAGAUCUCAGGAAUACAUCACCUUUCAGUGGCUCCACUCUGCUUUCAAAACUCCUCAGCUUUGGUCAAAUUAGUCUGGUGUCUCCUGUGUUUUGGCUCAGGAGUCUGGCCAUUUUUGUGCCUCUCCAAGUCUGCAUGUUCACCUUCUUAUCUUCCCAUGCCUAACUUAAGUUCUACUUUCUCCACAAAGCCUCUGAUAAGUCUCCUUUUCUCCCAUAUGAAAGUAAUCUCUUCUUGUUCAAUUUCUUUUGCGUUUUAUAUGUAGUUCUCUUACGAUUCUGAGCAUUUUCUCCCUGUUCUCAUAGUUAUUUGAAUGCAUGAUUUCCAUAUUAGAAGAUAAGGUACUCCAACAGAAACCAUGUCUGAUUCCCUUUGUAUCUGUCACAGUGUGGUACAGAUCCUGGCACACAGUGAGUGUUCAGAAAUGCUGAAUGUUAAUGAAGAAAUGAAUAAAAGGAGCAAAUCACAGCUUCCCUGGAAAAAAGCAUGACUUGCCGGGACAGAGACUUUAGGUCUGAGUAAUCUUUAAGAGCUGUAUUAGGAUCAGCUAUUUUCAUUUAGGCCUGGUAAAGGGGGAAUGAGCUUUAACCAUGGUGGGAGGGACUCUGACUUAAAAAAAUUCAACUUUAUUUCUAUGGAAGCUCAAUAGCCAAGGCCUGGGAUUCUUUGCUAGAGAGGACUGGAAUUUCCUUCAUUAAGGUAGAAUUUGGGAGGUGGAUAGGUGGAUGGAGCAGGGUGGGAGAUUAGAGGAAGUCUUUUUUGGCUUUAUUGUUGUUGCUAGAAAGUAAUCCAUUCCAGUGCAAGGAUUUCCAAAAAUAAAAAAUCCUGGUCUGAAAGGUCUCAGGGGGGCUCUCAAUAAUGAAUGUGAAGAUGAUUCUACUUUGAAGACAUAGCUACAUAGUGUGCUGUCUUAAUAAUUGAAAAAAGUGAAUAAUAAAAAUUAAAACAAGGAACAAAGAAUAGCAACCCAGUUAUAGUAUAAUGCUUAAAGCCCCAACCCCUGCAACUUCUCAGCACAUGCUUUGAAAAAUCACCUAUCCACUUACCACUACUUUCCUGGUAGGGCACUCAACUCUGGACUAGGUUUGUAAAAUCUGUCCAACCUUUGGUUCUCCAUUUCCAGGAGUCUACACCACAGCCAUGUAACUAUCUACACAUUUACAAGCAAACCCAUUGUCUUCUUCCUUAAAUAUAUUAUGUUUGUAGAAUUGCUGUAUUUCCCAACAAUAAGUCCCAAAUCCUUGUCUUCUUUGAGUCCCCCUCACACUUGCCUCCCAGCUAAAUGUCUCCAAGUCCAGGACUUGCUUCUUCAUACCACUUUCUAUAGUGGUGAAGUUUUAUAUGCCAGGACUUCCCAUCUAGAUACUAUAUUCACUGAUUUUCCUGUCUCCUAACUCUCCUUUCUCUAACCCAUCAUUCCUAAGCCCUUACGUUUACUAUUGCAUUUUCAUGAUCAACAACGUUCAGUGCUUCUCCAUUGCUUACAAGAGAAAAUCUAAACUUAUUAGAAUGGAACAUAAAGCUCUUGUCCUUCCCUAUCAAAAUUUUAUCCGUUCUCAAGGAUAAAAUUAAAUUUCCUAUAUGUUUGCCUCUCUCAUUAGGUAAUAAGCUUCUUGAGAGUAGGAACUGAGUCUGACUUGACUUUGUAUUCUC